ACCCUUUUCCUAAUUCCCACCGGUUCGGCCGGGAACUCAAAGGAGACUGCCAGAGAUAAACAGGAGGAAGGGGGGGAUGACGUCAAGUCAUCAUGGCCCUUACGAGUAGGGCUACACACGUGCUACAAUGGCAUAUACAAAGAGAAGCGACCUCGCGAGACCAACCGGACCUCAUAAAGUAUGUCGUAGUCCGGAUCGGAGUCUGCAACUCGACUCCGUGAAGUCGGAAUCGCUAGUAAUCGUGGAUCAGAAUGCCACGGCGAAUACGUUCCCGGUCUUUAGCGGGCCGCCCGUCACACCAUGGGAGGGGGGGCCCCUCCUUUUGCUAGCUUACCUUCGGGAGGGCGCUUACCCCACUUUGUGAUUCAUGAACUGGGGGGAAGUUCGUUAACCACCAG
rnacentral:rRNA from 1 species